GGGAGCAUUACUCUUGAUUGUGGGCGGGGCCGGGGAGCUCGAAGAGCCAGAGGCCCAAAGCUAGCCUCCCUCUACCUCCUCCCUCCUGUCUGCCUCCACCAGAGAUGCCAGGUCACGGGGGACACUCGAAUACAAGACAGCUGGUCCCCAGCGGCAGGUCCCUUGGCUCGGAAGGUUCUUGGCUGAGAUCCCCUGUAAGAAAGAGAUGAAGAAGACAAAACCAAAUUUAAUUAUGUAUGUCCAGAGCCCCACAAAGAUAUGAGACUCAAAGAAUUGAUCAGAGCAGAAGAUUUUUAUAUCUUUCAGACAAAGAAACAAUAAAUUUGUGAGGAAUUGACAAGACGAAGGCGUUUGGGCUCGGGGCAAUAAAGUAAUGCAGAAGUAACAAGGUUUGUUUAGCCAGCCCUCUCAGCCCGUUCACUGUCUCUGGUGAUAAGGAGGCCUCCUGCCCUCCUGGUACAGGGGAGGUGCCAUUCAUGUGGGAUUGAUUUCCUGCUUCCAGAAGGAGAAAGGAGGGUCAGAGCGUCCCUCUACCAGCUGUCUCUCA
rnacentral:lncRNA from 1 species